rnacentral:RNase_P_RNA from 1 species
UGAGGAGAAUGAAUGAUCGCGCCCGUGGAUACGGGUGAGGAAAGUCCGGGCUUCAUAGGGUAGGAUGCCGGAUAACGUCCGGUGGAGGCGACUCCAAGGAAAGUGCAACAGAAAUAUACCGCCUGCAUCAAACACGCAGGUAAGGGUGAAAUGGUAGUGUAAGAGACUACCGCCCGCACGGUGACGUGGGGGGCAUAUGUAAACCCCAUCCGAAGCAAGACCAAGCGUAGAGCUACAGGCUAACCCGGCCUGCUCUCAGGUAGGUCGCAAGAGGCCGUCGGCAACGUCGGUCGCAGAUAGAUGAUCAUUCACGACAGAAUCCGGCUUAUAGUUCUGCUCACAAA